rnacentral:rRNA from 1 species
CCAGACUCCUACGGGAGGCAGCAGUGGGGGAUAUUGCACAAUGGGGGAAACCCUGAUGCAGCGACGCCGCGUGGGCGAAGAAGUAUUUCGGUAUGUAAAGCCCUAUCAGCAGGGAAGAAGAAAUGACGGUACCUGAGUAAGAAGCACCGGCUAAAUACGUGCCAGCAGCCGCGGUAAUACGUAUGGUGCAAGCGUUAUCCGGAUUUACUGGGUGUAAAGGGAGCGCAGGCGGCACGGCAAGCCUGAUGUGAAAGCCCGCGGCCCAACCCCGGGGCUGCAUUGGAAACUGGCAGGCUGGAGUGCCGGAGAGGCAGGCGGAAUUCCUAGUGUAGCGGUGAAAUGCGUAGAUAUUAGGAGGAACACCAGUGGCGAAGGCGGCCUGCUGGACGGUGACUGACGCUGAGGCUCGAAAGCGUGGGGAGCAAACAGGAUUAGAUACCCCUGUA